UCCGUCUGUCAGGUUGCCUGUGGAUAUGGUUGCCCAGGAUCGAGGGGGAGGAAGAAGAAGAAGAAGCUCGUGUUGGUUUUUGAGAUAUUUCCUGCGUAAUGACGCAUGUGGUGCAAUUUCUGUUUUGAGUCUUCAAAGGAAGGUGUUGAGUUCGGGCGCAUAAGAGGUUGUUGGGCAAGCCAGGUUUGAGAAGUCAGCUGUUCUGUACGCGAAAAUCUGGUUGACUGGGUUGUGCGACUCUCCAAUUCCGUUUCGCUCAUUUUGUCUUUUCUUAGUCAGCAUCUUUGACCCGCCCUUUGGCAGAAUUUGCGCUGUAAUGUGGAUUAGCAGCAGGAGUCAGCCCCGAAGCGUGAUCACACAUCCUCGCGGGGCAAUACCAAAUUGAUUGACGCUUGACCACUGACUCAGACCCGCCUGCCCCGAAACCUAAUACAAAUUUCUGCCGGAUACCCAUUUCCUCUACAGAUAUUGGCUGUUUCAACACGCGGUAGAAUGCUGGAGAGCGCAUCGUGCCCAUGAUAACGUGGCCGUUUCUAAUUUCGACCGGAAAGAAGCGUUUUGAUCUAAACGGAUGGCAGCAGGUUCUAUGAACGCAAAGUCUCAGAGAAAAUGGAAAGUCUCUGAAGAGUUGUGAUCGUGUGUGCGCGUGAGUCACUUCAACCUGUGUUCCUACCAGACCGGAUAUUGACUCGCCGGGCGACGUCUUCCUUGAUGGAAAAAGUGGACUACUCGAAGUGAGGGAAAUCCAGGUGCUCCACGAAUCAAUAACCAAUUUCAGCACCAUAUUCAGGAGCUCGAGCUGCUCGUGUGGCGGAGGAAUGGCUGCUCUCGGAAGAGCGCGUUGCUGCACUUCUGCGUGCAUGAGGAAAGGAGAGACUAGACCUCGAAAUCUCCGCCUGGGGUUUUUGAAUACCUUGCGAGUCUGUCCCCAUCCGGGGUUGUAAUGGUGGUGAAAUAUGUUUAUAUAUUCAUGUAUAUAUGUAUAAUAAUUUUGGAAUAGUUACCAAAGUGGAAAUAAAUAUAUUAUCUGUGUUGCAACCCAAUGAACUUAGAAUAAGUAUCGUGUUUGUUUGUGUACAAAAUUCCCGUGUUUUUAAUUAUCAAUAUGUACUUCAUAUCACAGCCACUGAAUAUGUGUACAUAUAUAAGAUCAACAACUUAUAAGUUUCAAUUUAUGAAAAGUGACAUUAUGCCUUAAUUGUUAGGUAACUUUUUAAAAAUAUAAUAGUAUUGAGCAUAUUUUGUAUUGUAGGUAGAUUUUCUGGGGAAAAAAAAAAAAAAA